rnacentral:tRNA from 1 species
UGGGUAUUCGCCAAAUCGGUAAGGCAACGGACUCUGAAUCCGUAAUUUGUAGGUUCGAGCCCUACAUACCCAACUA